rnacentral:rRNA from 1 species
AUUGAACGCUGGCGGCAGGCCUAACACAUGCAAGUCGAACGAGUGGCGGACGGGUGAGUAAUGUAUGGGCACCUGCCUGAUGGAGGGGGUUAAGUACUGGAAACGGUAGCUAAUACCGCAUACCAUCAGAUGUGCCCAGAUGGGAUUAGCUAGUUGGUGGGGUAACGGCUGACCAAGGCGACGAUCCCUAGCUGGUCUGAGAGGAUGACCAGCCACACUGGAACUGAGACACGGUCAAGACUCCUACGGGAGGCAGCAGUGGGGAAUAUUGCACAAUGGGCGCAAGCCUGAUGCAGCCAUGCCGCGUGUAUGAAGAAGGCCUUCGGGUUGUAAAGUACUUUCAGCGGGGAGGCGUUACCCGCAGAAGAAGCACCGGCUAACUCCGUGCCAGCAGCCGCGGUAAUUC